CGGGAGGCCGCGAGCCUCGCCAUGCUUUGGAGGGGAAGGCGCACACACGUGAGCUCUUGGACCACCCGGCAGCUCCCGAGCAGCUGCUGUGUCGCCUUGUCGCAUUGGCUGAUCUGUGAACCUUUCACCUUUUAUCUAGGUCUCGCCGCCAAUCGUUUGGUUCCUUUCAUGUCGCGGGGACGCGAAGCGUAAGCUGCGCAGGGUGGAAUUCUCGGAGCGGGCUUGCGUCGCAGGCGCUGGGCGGCCUCCGUUGGUACGGGUGGGAGGUGCUCUGUUUGCGUAGGGCCGGCAGCGCAGGGGGAAAGGGGGGGGAGGAGAAGGAGGAGGAGGCCGUCGCGGGCCCAGGUGAAUGGAGGAACCUGACAGUUGGGGGGAGCAAGGCGGCGGCAGCGGGGAAAUGGCGGUGGCGGCGGCAACACAAUGAGACGCGGCCUGUAGUGGGGUGCAGCGCCUGGCCGGGUCCGUCCGAGCAGUUAUUCUUUGUCUCCUUGUAUUUAUUCUGUCACUGUGGAAGAUUCACAGAUGGUUGACUCUGGGAUUGGUCUGGUUUUUGAUUUGUUUGCCUGUACUGAAAGUGUUGCUGGUGCAAAACAGCAUCAACAGUGGAGAUGAGGGACCCUUAUGAUGAACAGGACAUUUCUCAAGUCUGCUGACAUGGUAGGCUCUUUAUCUAUUUGACCUUCUGCUGUCUUUCAUAGUUGAUGGAAAAAGUGAAAG
ensembl:lncRNA